CGAUUGACCUCGGAUCAGGUAGGGAUACCCGCUGAACUUAAGCAUAUCAAUAAGCGGAGGAAAAGAAACCAACAGGGAUUGCCUCAGUAACGGCGAGUGACGC
rnacentral:rRNA from 1 species